rnacentral:rRNA from 1 species
AUUGAACGCUGGCGGCAUGCUUUACACAUGCAAGUCGAGCGGCAGCGCGGGGGCAACCCUGGCGGCGAGCGGCGAACGGGUGAGUAAUGCAUCGGAACGUAUCCUUGAGUGGGGGAUAACCCGGCGAAAGCCGGGCUAAUACCGCAUGCGCUCUGAGGAGGAAAGCGGGGGGACCCUGAGGGAAACUGAGGGGCCUCGCGCUCGUGGAGCCGCCGAUGUCCGAUUAGGUAGUGGUGGGGUAAUGGCCUACCAAGCCUGCGAUCGGUAGCUGGUCUGAGAGGAUGAUCAGCCACACUGGGACUGAGACACGGCCCAGACUCCUACGGGAGGCAGCAGUGGGGAAUCUUGCGCAAUGGGCGAAAGCCUGACGCAGCGACGCCGCGUGAGGGAUGACGGCCUCGG